GCCCGGAUGGCGAAAUUGGCAGACGCGCUACAUUCAGGUUGUAGUGAGCUCAGCUCGUGCAGGUUCAAGUCCUGUUCCGGGUA
rnacentral:tRNA from 1 species